CCUACGGGAGGCAGCAGUGAGGAAUAUUGGUCAAUGGGCGCGAGCCUGAACCAGCCAAGCCGCGUGAGGGAUGAAGGAUCUAUGGUUCGUAAACCUCUUUUAUAAGGGAAUAAAGUGGGGGACGCGUCCCGGUUUGCAUGUACCUUAUGAAAAAGCAUCGGCUAACUCCGUGCCAGCAGCCGCGGUAAUACGGAGGAUGCGAGCGUUAUCCGGAUUUAUUGGGUUUAAAGGGUGCGCAGGCGGCCUGUUAAGUCAGCGGUAAAAGCCCGGGGCUCAACCCCGGCGCGCCGUUGAAACUGGCGGUCUGGAGUUGGAGAGAAGUAUGCGGAAUGCGCGGUGUAGCGGUGAAAUGCUUAGAUAUCGCGCAGAACCCCGAUUGCGAAGGCAGCGUACCGGCUCCACACUGACGCUGAGGCACGAAAGCGUGGGUAUCGAACAGGAUUAGAUACCCGGGUAGUC
rnacentral:rRNA from 1 species